rnacentral:rRNA from 1 species
AUGUCUCAUGUCUCAAUACAUCGUACCCUGGAGACGAACUACAACAACAUUGCUUUGCUCAGCAAGAUGCUCGACGACUUCAGCAAGCUGCUGGGCGUUCAGAAACAAGUCUCCACGUCAUCGAGACAGCUGAGACGGCAACGCGAUGGUUUAACAAUGGGUUACCACUCGGAACAAACAGUUGGCACCAUGAGGGAGAAAAUGCCUGUAAUUCUAGACGUCACGAGGACGCUGUUGCGAGACCUGCAACUUCCUCUGACCGAAGAGUUUUCCGAGAUCAAGGAGUUUUGCAUCAAAAGUGCGUCCCUCAUUUUCUGCACCGUGUCUGGCUCGGCUAAGCUGGAGGGGGAGAAGAUGGAUCUGCUUCUGAUCGACGAGGCUGCACAGCUCAAGGAAUGUGAAUCCCUCGUCCCAUUGCAAGUCUCCGGACUGAAACAUGUGGUUCUUAUCGGUGACGAGCGCCAACUGCCAGCUAUGGUCCAAAGCAAGGUUUCAGAUAAGGCGUUGCUGGGUAGGAGUCUGUUUGAGAGAAUGGGUUUACUUGGACACAAGAAGCACCUCCUCAACAUGCAGUACAGGAUGCACCCUUCCAUAAGCAUCUUUCCCAACUUGAGUUUCUACGACAAGCAAAUCUUGAAUGGCCCCAAUGUGACGCAGACCAAGCAUGAACGUAGUUACCUUUCAGGUGCAAUGUUCGGGCCAUACUCGUUCAUCAACAUCGACGGUGUGGAAGACCGCGGCCGCAGCAAGACGAACAUGACCGAGGUGGCUGCCAUCCUGCAAAUACUGCACAGUCUCAAGAAAUUUUGUAUCAGCGCCGGGCAGGUGGUUAGCGUGGGUGUCAUAUCCCCGUACACCGCUCAGGUGGUCGCAAUUCAGGGAAAGAUAGGGGACGUGAAGGCGAUGCGCCCCCUGGUUCUUCGCGUCAACUCUGUGGAUGGGUUCCAGGGCAGUGAAGAAGACGUGAUCAUCCUAUCCACCGUCAGGUCCAACGGCACGUGCUCCGUUGGCUUCCUGUCGAACCGGCGACGCGCCAAUGUUGCCUUGACGAGGGCGAGGCACUGCCUCUGGAUCGUGGGCAACGCGGCAACGCUAAGCGGCAGCGGCUCCAUCUGGGGGGAGCUGAUCCGGGAUGCCGCGGAACGUCGGUGCUUCUUCGACUGGGACGAAGGCGAGGGCGUGUCUCCGGCAGUUUCUCGCCACGCUUGCGUAAUCGGGCCAGGACAUGGUGAAGCCGCUUCAGAUUUAGGCAUGCACCUGGCCGGGGAUAUUUGUGACACGCUCGGUUCUCUGCGGCUCGCUUAA